rnacentral:lncRNA from 1 species
CCUGCUUAACAGAAGGCUCAGUUGCCCAAGUGACGAAGGCAUUGUGGGGCACGAACCAGGCUUUGGUGAAUUUAUCUCAUUAUACACCAGGAGUUAUAAUUUAAAAACCAGUGUCAUAUAAAGAAGAAAAAAGAUAUGGUGAGAUACAAUACCAUUAACACUUCUUCAGAAACGGAUUUUAAAGCAGAACUUCCAUGACUGUGAAAUCCAACCGGGUGCGCGACCACGAGGAAGGAUGGCGAGGGAGGAAACCGCGCUUUGUUGUUGAGGUGUUCACGGAUAAUGAAGCUGAUGUGAGAGCCCUGGAGAGAAACAUCAGUCAAAGGCAUGCAGGGAAUCCCAUCCAGCGUCCCUCUACUCUCCUCUGCAGCUUCCAUGGUUGGAAUGCUGAGCCAUUGCUAGGACGAUGAGGCUACAGGAAAGUGAAAUGCACCUGCUGCGAUCUGAUCCAACUGACCACUCCUGCUGCUCCUCCCUUGCACCUCAGGCAUCUCCUUCCAAUCUGGAGGAAACACUUUUACCUCCACUUUUCUUUUACAGUCCUCCAAACUCUGUUCCUUCUAGGGAGCACAAGUACAGAAAUAGAAACCUGGACUCCCAUCAUCCUGCUUCACAAACUUACAAUGUUAAAGAAAGAAAAAAAAAAAGACCAAGUACAUUACCUGGUAGAAUUGGAGAGAUGGGCACGAAAGAGCUGUAAAUACAGUUAGAAAACACACUAGCAUUUACAAAUGUGUAUGAGAAACAAUGAGGAGGAUUUUCAGAGACUAUCAUAACCAUUUAUUUUUCUAAUAUGUGAUAAGUAAACGCACAGAAAAUCAAUUUAAUAUUUGGGGCUUUUAUUUCUCAUUUUUUAGAUUGCCAGAAAGACUGUCCAGUGUUAUAAAGUUUGUGUCAAUAUUCUGGAAUUGGCAAUUUUGUCAUUUAUAUGGGAGAAAUAGCUAAAGGUGUAGUAUAAAGUAUUUGCUCGUAGGUAAUGGAAUGUUACCUUUACCCAAAGAUAUAAAAAAUAAACGGUAGAACAAAAACUC